AAACUUUCAACAAUGGAUCUCUUGGUUCCCGCAUCGAUGAAGAACGCAGCGAAAUGCGAUAACUAAUGUGAAUUGCAGAAUUCCGUGAAUCAUCGAGUCUUUGAACGCACAUUGCGCCCCUCGGUAUUCCGGGGGGCAUGCCUGUCCGAGCGUCAUU
rnacentral:rRNA from 1 species